rnacentral:tRNA from 1 species
GAUCGCGUAGCUCAGCCUGGUUAGAGCGCCGCUCUGAUAAGGCGGAGGUCCUGGGUUCAAAUCCCAGCGUGAUCA